UCCCUAGUGGUCCAGUGGCUAGGACACAGAGCUCCCAAUACAGGGGACCCUGGGUUCGAUCCCUGGCCAGGGAA
rnacentral:tRNA from 1 species